UAGAGUACUUCAGAGUUUGAUCCUGGCUCAGGACGAACGCUGGCGGCGUGCCUAACACAUGCAAGUCGAACGGGGUUAAGGAAGCUUGCUUUCUUAACUUAGUGGCGAACGGGUGAGUAACGCGUGAGGAACCUGCCUUUCAGUGGGGGACAACAGUUGGAAACGACUGCUAAUACCGCAUAAUGUAUUCGGACCGCAUGAUCUGAAUACCAAAGCUUUAUGUGCUGAAAGAUGGCCUCGCGUCUGAUUAGCUAGUUGGUGGGGUAACGGCCCACCAAGGCGACGAUCAGUAGCCGGUCUGAGAGGAUGAACGGCCACAUUGGGACUGAGAUACGGCCCAG
rnacentral:rRNA from 1 species